rnacentral:rRNA from 1 species
AUGGCUCCUGUUGGUUCACCCACUCUCACUAAUGCCGUCAAAGCGACCACCAUCGCCGCUGUCCUCGCCAUGCUGGUCCUGCCUUCCUUGGGGCGCUGUCCGUCGCUGGGCCAAGAAGAACUAGCAGUGGCUCCGGCACCGGCGAUGCGGUGCAGCGAAUGUGGCCCGCACUGCACGGAGAUGUGCAGAGUCUCCGUUCCCCCCAAGUGCAGCCGGUACUGCGACGUCCCCAGCUGUGAGGACUGCCGGUCCGCCGCGAUCCGCGACUGCAGGGCCAGGUGCAAGGCUGGGGGCUGCGAUUGUGAUGGCAAUGCGACCCGGUCAUGCGCGGGCUCUUGCUCAGGUAGUUCUUCGUGCGCGGACUGCAUGAGGCUAACCGGUAAGCAAUGCACGAGCGACUGCAACAGCAAGUGUGCCGCCACCUGCGUGUGA